rnacentral:rRNA from 1 species
AACGUACGCUGGCGGCUGGUCUAACACAUGCAAGUCGAGCGCUGUAGCAAUAUAGUGCGGCGCACGGGUGAGUAACACGUGGGAACGUGCCCUUUGUUUCGGAAUAACUCAGGGAAACUUGAGCUAAUACCGGUUGCGCCAUAACGGGGAAAGAUCUUUCGCCGAAGGAGCAGCCCGCGUCGGAUUAGCUAGAUGGUGGGUUAAUAGCCUACCAAGGCAACGAUCCGUAGCUGGUUUGAGAGAACGACCAGCGAGACUGAGACUGAGACUCGUCGCAGAAUCCGACGAUAGGCAUCUGUGGGGAAUUUUGGAUUAUGGGUGAAGCUCUCUGCGAUCCAUACCGCGUGUUUGAUGAAGGUCCUAUGGUUGUAAAUCUCUUUCGGCGGUGAGGAUAAUGACGGUACCCUCAGAAGAAGCUCCGGCUAACUUCGUGCCAGCCGCCGCAGUAA